AGACAGACCAGAGGCUAUCCUCUCUCCCAAUCACCCUCCUCAGUUCUACACUGAGGUUGCUGGGAAACUGGAAAAGAUUGCCAAGAAGUCUACCAAGAUAAAGAUACUGAGUCCAGUCCUAAACCCACCAGCAGAUGAGUAUGAUCAAGAAGCGGUGGCACAACAACUUGUUCAUCUG